rnacentral:lncRNA from 1 species
AUGGAGGAAACGUCUAUACACAAUGGUAGAAGUCCUAGCACAGGCAUUUCCGUGUGUUUUAUCUAUAUUCCAGUCAAAUCCUACCGAAGAAGACAAGAGCUUAUUUUUGGCAUGGGUGGAUUGAAAAUGAAAACUAAAGAGACCGAUCAUCAUCAGAGUUUCCUUCUUUCCUUCUUUUUUCAUCAUCCUGGGUGGCUGCAGUCCAGGGGUUUGAAGGUGAGCAUUGCUUCAGCUAGAGGCAGAGGGUGGCGAUACUCCAAUUUAGAGAGGUCCCAUAGGACUGGCUAAAGAAGGCAGAAUCUGAAAAUGCUUCCUGCCUCAGGAUUUUCUCUGAAAUCUGGCCC